rnacentral:lncRNA from 1 species
ACUUCCUGUUAGUUCUGAUGGUGAAUAUCUCACCCAUGUUUCACCCCGUGUGGAGGGGGAAUCCGAGGAUACUCUAUCUGCUUAUUUUGGCACACAAUCAUCACCUGCUAUGUCGUGCCCGUGGUAUUAUAAAUACAAGGCCAGAAGGAGGACAUAUGUAUGCAUGAUGUAUUGAUGUUGAUCUGGUGCUGCUGCAGUGGAUCGCAGCAGCUCAAAAGAUAACGACUGGUAGUUCAAAACAGAAGGCAGGAGGACAGAGCUCGGUAGCUCAGAAGCUACGAGGUUUAAUUUGAUAAGGACGUUCAAACAUGGUUUUGCAAUCCUUUUCAUUCUGCAAUCCUUUUCAGCUUAAUCAAGAUACGGUUCUUAGUAUAUGACUAGAUACAACUUCUGUAAUGGUAUGCAUCAUGAUGUUGUAGGCGUCAUAUCCGGUGAAAACCUCCAUUUGAUGCAAACUCAUUCGAAACCAUCUAUAAACGUUUCAAAAACAAAAAUAUCAUAUGGGGUGUGAUGCACUACAAACGUGCAAAAUUUCAAGUUAAAAAUCAAAUACAUU